rnacentral:lncRNA from 1 species
CAUGAAGUAGAGGAGACAGGACGAGGGAGAAAGGACGAAGGAAGCAUCAGUUGGAGCAGUUCAGCAUGAGCCACAUGAACCACGGUCCGUGCGUGGACAAGGCGACGUGGAUGUACACGACGUUGCCUUGGAGAUCGAGGCGCGGGCAGAAACAGUACAAACAAUAAGAGCCGUUGUUAAAAACAGCCACAACCAUGACAUGAUGGCAUCAUUUCCACAUAAAAGAUAUGCUACGGUUUCACGUCACAGCUGAACCGCUGAGGUUCUGCUCCAAACCCGGUGAGCGGCUUAUGGUCACUGUUCGUUGAAAGUUUCAGACCAAAACUCAUCAGGGAAACUAAUGAACAAAAACACAGCGGGGGACUCUAUGAUUCCAAACUGGAUCUACCCGCUCACCUGAAAGAGGCGCGCCCUGAGCAGGACGUCAAAAAGCUUAAACCUACGGGCACCUGUCAAUUAAACCAACCUCACCGCAGCGGGCGCGUGACGGUAAAUGCCACUCAACCCGUUUCUUUCGCCAUUCAAGGGUCCGACACACCUGACGCAGGACAAAGCUGCCAUAUAAAAGCUGCAGGUGUUUGUUGAGCGACACUCAUCACUAAGCGGCCGAACCAACGGGACCAGGCGGCGUCGACGGACACGAACAGCUCAAUUUUUUUUCACAAUGAUGAUGAAAACCUGUAUUGUUCUUCUCCUGCUGUUUGUUGCCUCAGGCAACACACAGACUUUAACAACAGUUCCUCCAGCCACCACCACAGUGGCCAUGACCACGGAAUCAACUACCACCGGAGCAACAACUACCACAGGAGCAACCAACACCACAGUGGCCAUGACCACAGGAGCAACUACGACCGGAGCAACUACGACCGGAGCAACAACUACCACCGGAGCAACAACUACCACCGGAGCAACAACUACCACAGGAGCAACAACUACCACAGGAGCAACCACCACCACAGUGGCCAUGACCACAGGAGCAACUACGACCGGAGCAACUACGACCGGAGCAACAACUACCACAGGAGCAACAACUACCACAGGAGUAACUACGACCGGGGGAUCAACUACCACCGGAGGAUCAACUACCACCGGAGCAACUACCACCGGGGGAUCAACUACCACCGGAGCAACUACGACCGGGGGAUCAACUACCACCGGGGGAUCAACUACCACCGGAGGAUCAACUACCACCGGAGCAACUACCACCGGAGGAUCAACCGCCACUGUAUCCACAACAAAAGCCACCUCUUCAGCAGCCAUAAACAAAACAAGCUUCCUUCUACUCACAUCAGUUGUCUCCUCACUUCUUUGGAAAUGAAUUUGCUCAAAUGAGGGACCAAACAGCUUGUUUGUAGUUGACACACUGAUGUUUAUAUGAAGGCGCAGCCUGAUUUGUGAGGCUUUAUUGUCAGGUUCUCUUCUUUUGUCCUGUUUAUAUUAAAGACGUAGAAAGGCAGCGUUCAACAGAUCUAAGUGACCCACACAGUGUGGCGACAGCUCUGUAGAACACUGUAGAUGCAUAAAACAUGUCCAAAUAUUAAAAGCACACAAACAUAGCAAACGUUGCUGCCUCAUCCUGUGUCUUUAUUUUGACUUAUGACUUACAGCAUA